rnacentral:lncRNA from 1 species
AUGUUAGGAGAGAAGAGUUUUGAGACUCUAAAUGCAUUAAAUCAGGAAGAGGAAGAAGCAGUGGCAUUGGCAGCAACAACAAGAGAUCGGAACAGGUUAGUGAAAUUUCUUUCUCUAGAGGCCAUUUGGACCUGGGAAAUUUAUUUUAAAAGCUUUUUAUUUACUUAUUUGAGAGGUAGAGUUACAGACAGUGAGAGGGAGAGGAGACAGAAAGAAAGGUCUUUCUUCCGCUGGCUCAGUCCCAAAUGGCCACAAAGGCCAGAGCAGAGCUGUGCCAAUGCAAAGCCAGGAGCCAGGAGCUUCUUCCAGGUCUCCUGCAUGGGUGCAGGGACCCAAGGACGUGGGCCAUCUUCUACUGCUUUCCCAGGCCACAGCAGAGAGCCAGAUUGGAAGAGGAGCAGCCGGGAUUCGAACUGGCAUCCAUAUGGGAUGCCAGUGCCACAGAGGAUUAACCUACUGCAGCACAGCGCUGGCCCCUGGGACCUGGGAAAUUUUAAAGUUUCUCACAAGCAGAAAUAUCCUAAGAGGCAGGCUGUCUCAAGGCCCAAAAUUAGCCAGAGAUCCACAAGGCUUCAGGACAACUGAGAGGCAGUGAGAGUCACCACCAGUGAGCAGUUACCCCACUGCUGCACAAUGCCCCUUGGCCACUCAGCCACAGGUGCUCCACCUUAACUGCCGUCUUUCUCGGAAGACCUUGCUCUUUAAAGGAGAACCAUUAAAAAAGACCAACCACCGCUGAAUUCAGGGCACAGGCCACGUACACUGAAUGUAUUUUAGGGCAGUGGCUCAUGAUAAAUUGUUUCCCAAGUUCCUCAAAGGUACUGGUUAGUGUCAAGCUCUCUCGGGCCCAGGCUGAUAACUAUGAAGUGUGGGGAAUUUCAGUUGUUGGGAGGUACUUGGUUAUGAUACAUGUGGACUCUUAGGGCUUAUUAUAAAAGUGAUGGCCUAUGGCUCUCCAGACUGAGAAAGGAUUGCCUUUGUGAAUAAUAAGAGGAUGCAGCAGUUAUAAAAAAUUAAUAGACUGUGACAGUCUGUCUCCUAGAUAUAUAGGUGUGUUAAGUGAACUAAGCCCUAUGGUAGUGUGUGGGUAAAGCAUGCUACUAUCCUAGUUUUCUGUUGCUACAGCAAAAUACCUAAGACUGAGUGAUUUAUAAAGAAGCUCGUUUGGCUCAUGGUUCUGGACCUGGUUAGUCCAAGACCAUGAUGCAGACUUCUGCUCAGCAUCUGCUGGGGCCCCUCUUACUGCAUUAGAACACGACACAGAGCAUCACAUGCUGGGACACAGCACGUAUGCUGGCGCAGGUCCCUCUUUCUAAAAUGCUGCUAAUGCCGAUGGGGCUUCCUCUGUCCUGACCUCAUCCAAUCCUAAGUACCUCCCACAGCCUCUACCUCCAAACACCAUCAACACAGGAGAUUUGGAAUUCAGUUUCUUUCUUUUUUUUUUUUUGACAGGUAGAGUUAUAGUCAGAGAGAGAGAGAGAAACAGAGAGAAAGGUCCUCCCUCCGUUGGUUCUCCCCAAAUGGCCACCACAGCCGGCACCGCGCUGAUCCAAAUCCAGGAGCCAGGUGCUUCCUCCUGGUCCCCCAAGCACCUGGGCCAUCCUCCACUGCCCUCCCGGGCCAUAGCAGAGAGCUGUGACUGGAAGAGGAGCAACUGGGACUAGAACCCAGCACCCCUAUGGGAUGCCAGUGCUGCAGGUGGAGGAUUAAUUCCGGCGCUGGCCCCGGAAUUCAGUUUCUAAUAUGUGAACUUUGUGAGGACACAGUCCAACAACAGCAACUACUGUGUGCUCUGCAUUAUCUGUAUAGAACUUUAGGAUCCAAUACAGCAGCCACUAGCCACAUACGGCUGUUUGAAUGUAAAUUUGAAAGUCAAAGCUCACAAGUCAUCACACUCAGCCAUCUUUUUUUUAACUUUUACUUAAUUAUUUUCAUUUGAGGUGAAAGGCAGAGAAAUGGAGACAGAAGGGACAUAUCUUCCAUCUGCUGGUUCACUUCCCCAAAUGCCUGCAACAGCUGGGGCUGGGCCAGGCAGAAUCCAGAAGCCCAGAUUUCAGUCCAGGUCUCCCACAUGGGUGGCAGGAACUAAGCACUUAAGCCAUCAUCUGCUGCCUCCCAGAGUCUGCAUUUGCAGGAAGCUGAAAUCAGAAGCAGAACCAUGAUCUGAACCAGGCAUUCUGACCUGAGAUGUGGUCAUCCAAGUGCCAGCUGUAACACUGAGCCCAAGGCUCACCCCAGAGUAGGGGUUUCCAAAAGGAAAGUGAAGGGCCUUCUCAGAUCAAACCAAAGGUUGAGGAGCCUCCCAGAACAACAGAGAAAGAGAGAGAGAGAGAGAGAGAACCAGGAAGUGGCAUAAUCAGAACCUAUGUGUUCAUGUGUAACCCUCUAGCAAUACCCCAUCAGAAUGUAGGUAACCAUAUGAGGCGGACAAAGAAAGUAAGAGUGUGUGUAAAGCUAUGACCCGCUUUGCUCCGGGCUCAGCCUUUGACUGCUUUCCUGCUAUGAGCUUCGGUGUCCUGCCUGUCCGAGAACCCCACAACAUUUCUAGGGGCUUGUGUCCAGGAUUCAGAGAUGGGGUUUCCACCUCUUUUGUUGCUGGGGUACGAUACCCCCACCCCAGGAUGCUGAGAGAGGUGACCUUGCCUGGUGCCAGUGGGCAGAUUAAUCCAUAGGUGACUCACCAUCCUGCUGUGCCAGGGUAGGGCCCUGGGAGCACAGAGGAACCCAAUGAGGCACGAGGAACCAGCCAAGGGAAAGACAGCUGCCAAAGGCAAGGGGGCGGUUGGAAUGGUGGGAGGAAAAAAGGUAACAAGCCGGGUUCCCUCAUUUUGGUUUCAGUGAGCCUGCCCCUAAGAGGCAGAAGGGCAGCUUGAUGCCGUCCACUCCCAGAGUUACCAGAGUACUCUACGUCACAGGAGACAGGAGAAGAAACUGCAACUGGGGGCUGACACUGCGGCUUAGCUGCAACUGGGGGCUGACACUGCGGCUUAGCAGGUAAAGCCACUGCCUGCAGUGCCAGCAUCCCAUAUAAACACCAGUCCGAGCUGUGGCCUGGGAAAGCAGAAGAUGGCCCAGGUCCUUGGGCCCCUGCACCUGCAUGAGAAACCUGCAGGAGGCCCCUGCACCUGCAUGAGAAACCUGCAGGAGGCUCCUGGUUUCAGAUGGGCACAGUAGUGGAUGGAAGCCUCUCUCUCUCUCUCUCUCUCUCUCUCUCUCUCUCUCUCUCUCUCUCUCCCUCUCUGGUUUGUAGCAUGUUACCUCUGCCCCUCUGCUGGGAGAGGGGAUGAGGAAGGCCAGUUGUCUAUCGGCCAGGGCAACAAUACUCAAGUUGAUAGAGGCAGGCAUAUGGAUUAAACUGAUUAGAUUUAGGAGCUGGAGACCACGCCUUCAGCCUGCCCCCUUUUGUGAUUUCAUGCCAAUACCUGACCUCACCUGUACACCCACCUGCCAAUCAGACUACGUAACCACUCCCCUGUGAAGUGAGUGAAAGGCCUGGAGCACGGUGGGCCCUCCCUUGCCGUUCUUUACCUCCAGGUGUGGGGCCUCUUGGCCGAGCUGGGCUACCUGUAGCUGCUCCUAAUCACACACUUUGCUCCACGUGGCUCCCAGCCUGCUCUCUGCCUGGUAUGGACCCAGCCUGUGCUUCCAGACUUCUUCUAAAUAAAGCCCUCACUUUCUGUGUAUUUCUUUCA